rnacentral:rRNA from 1 species
GCCUAACACAUGCAAGUCGAGCGGAUGAGUGGAGCUUGCUCCAUGAUUCAGCGGCGGACGGGUGAGUAAUGCCUAGGAAUCUGCCUGGUAGUGGGGGACAACGUUUCGAAAGGAACGCUAAUACCGCAUACGUCCUACGGGAGAAAGCAGGGGACCUUCGGGCCUUGCGCUAUCAGAUGAGCCUAGGUCGGAUUAGCUAGUUGGUGAGGUAAUGGCUCACCAAGGCGACGAUCCGUAACUGGUCUGAGAGGAUGAUCAGUCACACUGGAACUGAGACACGGUCCAGACUCCUACGGGAGGCAGCAGUGGGGAAUAUUGGACAAUGGGCGAAAGCCUGAUCCAGCCAUGCCGCGUGUGUGAAGAAGGUCUUCGGAUUGUAAAGCACUUUAAGUUGGGAGGAAGGGCAUUAACCUAAUAUGUUAGUGUUUUGACGUUACCGACAGACUGAGCACCGGCUAACUUCGUGCGAGCUGCCGCGGUAAUACGCAGGGGUGCGAGCGUUUAUCGGAACUUACUGGGCGUACAGUGCGCGUAGGUGGUUUG